UACGUAGGGUGCGAGCGUUAAUCGGAAUUACUGGGCGUAAAGCGUGCGCAGGCGGUUUUGUAAGCCAGAUGUGAAAUCCCCGGGCUUAACCUGGGAAUGGCGUUGGUGACUGCACGGCUAGAGUGUGUCAGAGGGGGGUAGAAUUCCACGUGUAGCAGUGAAAUGCGUAGAGAUGUGGAGGAAUACCGAUGGCGAAGGCAGCCCCCUGGGAUAACACUGACGCUCAUGCACGAAAGCGUGGGGAGCAAACAGG
rnacentral:rRNA from 1 species